rnacentral:rRNA from 1 species
CAUUACCGAGUUUACAACUCCCAAACCCAAUGUGAACCAUACCAAACUGUUGCCUCGGCGGGGUCACGCCCCGGGUGCGUCGCAGCCCCGGAACCAGGCGCCCGCCGGAGGGACCAACCAAACUCUUUCUGUAGUCCCCUCGCGGACGUUAUUUCUUACAGCUCUGAGCAAAAAUUCAAAAUGAAUCAAAACUUUCAACAACGGAUCUCUUGGUUCUGGCAUCGAUGAAGAACGCAGCGAAAUGCGAUAAGUAAUGUGAAUUGCAGAAUUCAGUGAAUCAUCGAAUCUUUGAACGCACAUUGCGCCCGCCAGUAUUCUGGCGGGCAUGCCUGUCCGAGCGUCAUUUCAACCCUCGAACCCCUCCGGGGGUCCGGCGUUGGGGAUCGGGAACCCCUAAGACGGGAUCCCGGCCCCGAAAUACAGUGGCGGUCUCGCCGCAGCCUCUCCUGCGCAGUAGUUUGCACAACUCGCACCGGGAGCGCGGCGCGUCCACGUCCGUAAAACACCCAACUUCUGAAAUGUUGACCUCGGAUCAGGUAGGAAUACCCGCUGAACUUAAGCAUAUCA